rnacentral:rRNA from 1 species
UACGUAGGGGGCAAGCGUUGUCCGGAUUUAUUGGGCGUAAAGAGCGUGUAGGCGGCCAGGUAGGUCCGUUGUGAAAACUGGAGGCUUAACCUCCAGCUGUCGAUGGAAACCAUCUGGCUAGAGUCCGGAAGAGGAGAGUGGAAUUCCUGGUGUAGCGGUGAAAUGCGCAGAUAUCAGGAGGAACACCGGUGGCGAAGGCGGAUCUCUGGGCCGAUACUGACGCUGAGGAGCGAAAGCGUGGGGAGCGAACAGG